UACGUAGGGUGCAAGCGUUUGUCCGGAAUUAUUGGGCGUAAAGAGCUCGUAGGCGGUUUGUCGCGUCUGCUGUGAAAACCCGAGGCUCAACCUCGGGCCGCAGUGGGUACGGGCAGACUAGAGUGCGGUAGGGGAGAUUGGAAUUCCUGGUGUAGCGGUGGAAUGCGCAGAUAUCAGGAGGAACACCGAUGGCGAAGGCAGAUCUCUGGGCCGUAACUGACGCUGAGGAGCGAAAAGCGUGGGGAGCGAACAGG
rnacentral:rRNA from 1 species